CCUACGGGUGGCAGCAGUGAGGAAUAUUGGUCAAUGGGCGGAAGCCUGAACCAGCCAAGUCGCGUGAGGGAUUAAGGCCCUGCGGGUCGUAAACCUCUUUUGCCGGGGAGCAGUGGUCCGGACGCGUCCGGACCGGGAGAUUACACGGAGAAAAAGCAUCGGCUAACUCCGGGCCAGCAGCCGCGGUAAUACGGAGGAUGCGAGCGUUAUCCGGAUUUACUGGGUGUAAAGGGAGCGUAGGCGGUGCGGCAAGUCUGGAGUGAAAUGCCGCAGCUUAACUGCGGAACUGCUGUGGAAACUGGCGGACUAGAGUGCGGGAGGGGUGAGCGGAAUUCCUGGUGUAGCGGGGAAAUGCGUAGAUAUUAGGAAGAACACCGGUGGCGAAGGCGGUUUACUGGACCGUAACUGACGUUGAGGCUCGAAAGCGUGGGGAGCAAACAGGAUUAGAUACCCCAGUAGUC
rnacentral:rRNA from 1 species